GGGUAGCCGGCCUGAGAGGGCGACCGGCCACACUGGGACUGAGACACGGCCCAGACUCCUACGGGAGGCAGCAGUGGGGAAUAUUGCACAAUGGGCGCAAGCCUGAUGCAGCGACGCCGCGUGAGGGAUGAAGGCCUUCGGGUUGUAAGCCUCUUUCAGCAGGGAAGAAGCCUUCGGGUGACGGUACCUGCAGAAGAAGCGCCGGCUAACUACGUGCCAGCAGCCGCGGUAAUACGUAGGGCGCAAGCGUUGUCCGGAAUUAUUGGGCGUAAAGAGCUCGUAGGCGGUUUGUCGCGUCUGCUGUGAAAUCCUCAGGCUCAACCUGGGGCUUGCAGUGGGUACGGGCAGACUAGAGUGCGGUAGGGGUGACUGGAAUUCCUGGUGUAGCGGUGGAAUGCGCAGAUAUCAGGAGGAACACCGAUGGCGAAGGCAGGUCACUGGGCCGCAACUGACGCUGAGGAGCGAAAGCAUGGGGAGCGAACAGGAUUAGAUACCCUGGUAGUCCAUGCCGUAAACGUUGGGCACUAGGUGUGGGGCUCAUUCCACGAGUUCCGUGCCGCAGCAAACGCAUUAAGUGCCCCGCCUGGGGAGUACGGCCGCAAGGCUAAAACUCAAAGAAAUUGACGGGGGCCCGCACAAGCGGCGGAGCAUGCGGAUUAAUUCGAUGCAACGCGAAGAACCUUACCAAGGCUUGACAUACACCGGUAAAGUGCAGAGAUGUGCUCCCCGUAAGGUCGGUGUACAGGUGGUGCAUGGUUGUCGUCAGCUCGUGUCGUGAGAUGUUGGGUUAAGUCCCGCAACGAGCGCAACCCUCGUCCCAUGUUGCCAGCGGGUCAUGCCGGGGACUCAUGGGAGACUGCCGGGGUCAACUCGGAGGAAGGUGGGGAUGACGUCAAAUCAUCAUGCCCCUUAUGUCUUGGGCUUCACGCAUGCUACAAUGGCCGGUACAAAGGGCUGCGAUGCCGCGAGGUGGAGCGAAUCCCAAAAAGCCGGUCUCAGUUCGGAUUGGGGUCUGCAACUCGACCCCAUGAAGUCGGAGUCGCUAGUAAUCGCAGAUCAG
rnacentral:rRNA from 1 species